AGAUUGAACGCUGGCGGCAGGCCUAACACAUGCAAGUCGAGCGGUAGAGAGGUGCUUGCACCUCUUGAGAGCGGCGGACGGGUGAGUAACGCCUAGGAAUCUGCCUAGUGGUGGGGGAUAACGUUCGGAAACGGACGCUAAUACCGCAUACGUCCUACGGGAGAAAGCGGGGGACCUUCGGGCCUCGCGCCAUUAGAUGAGCCUAGGUCGGAUUAGCUAGUUGGUGAGGUAAUGGCUCACCAAGGCGACGAUCCGUAACUGGUCUGAGAGGAUGAUCAGUCACACUGGGACUGAGACACGGUCCAGACUCCGUACGGGAGCAGCAGUGGGGAAUAGUUGGACAA
rnacentral:rRNA from 1 species